AGCUUGUUGGUGAGGUAAUGGCUCACCAAGGCGUCGACGGGUAGCCGGCCUGAGAGGGUGACCGGCCACACUGGGACUGAGACACGGCCCAGACUCCUACGGGAGGCAGCAGUGGGGAAUAUUGCACAAUGGGCGAAAGCCUGAUGCAGCAACGCCGCGUGAGGGACGACGGCCUUCGGGUUGUAAACCUCUUUUAGCGAGGAAGAAGCGAAAGUGACGGUACUUGCAGAAAAAGCGCCGGCUAACUACGUGCCAGCAGCCGCGGUAAUACGUAGGGCGCAAGCGUUAUCCGGAAUUAUUGGGCGUAAAGAGCUCGUAGGCGGUUUGUCGCGUCUGCUGUGAAAACCCGAGGCUCAACCUCGGGCCUGCAGUGGGUACGGGCAGACUAGAGUGCGGUAGGGGAGAUUGGAACUCCUGGUGUAGCGGUGGAAUGCGCAGAUAUCAGGAAGAACACCGAUGGCGAAGGCAGAUCUCUGGGCCGUAACUGACGCUGAGGAGCGAAAGGGUAGGGAGCAAACAGGCUUAGAUACCCUGGUAGUCCACCCCGUAAACGUUGGGAACUAGUUGUGGGGUCCAUUCCACGGGUUCCGUGACGCAGCUAACGCAUUAAGUUCCCCGCCUGGGGAGUACGGCCGCAAGGCUAAAACUCA
rnacentral:rRNA from 1 species